rnacentral:rRNA from 1 species
ACACAUGCAGUCGAGCGGUAGCACAGAGAGCUUGCUCUCGGGUGACGAGCGGCGGACGGGUGAGUAAUGUCUGGGAAACUGCCUGAUGGAGGGGGAUAACUACUGGAAACGGUAGCUAAUACCGCAUAACGUCGCAAGACCAAAGUGGGGGACCUUCGGGCCUCAUGCCAUCAGAUGUGCCCAGAUGGGAUUAGCUAGUAGGUGGGGUAACGGCUCACCUAGGCGACGAUCCCUAGCUGGUCUGAGAGGAUGACCAGCCACACUGGAACUGAGACACGGUCCAGACUCCUACGGGAGGCAGCAGUGGGGAAUAUUGCACAAUGGGCGCAAGCCUGAUGCAGCCAUGCCGCGUGUGUGAAGAAGGCCUUCGGGUUGUAAAGCACUUUCAGCGGGGAGGAAGGCGUUAAGGUUAAUAACCUUGUCGAUUGACGUUACCCGCAGAAGAAGCACCGGCUAACUCCGUGCCAGCAGCCGCGGUAAUACGGAGGGUGCAAGCGUUAAUCGGAAUUACUGGGCGUAAAGCGCACGCAGGCGGUCUGUCAAGUCGGAUGUGAAAUCCCCGGGCUCAACCUGGGAACUGCAUUCGAAACUGGCAGGCUAGAGUCUUGUAGAGGGGGGUAGAAUUCCAGGUGUAGCGGUGAAAUGCGUAGAGAUCUGGAGGAAUACCGGUGGCGAAGGCGGCCCCCUGGACAAAGACUGACGCUCAGGUGCGAAAGCGUGGGGAGCAAACAGGAUUAGAUACCCUGGUAGUCCACGCCGUAAACGAUGUCGAUUUGGAGGUUGUGCCCUUGAGGCGUGGCUUCCGGAGCUAACGCGUUAAAUCGACCGCCUGGGGAGUACGGCCGCAAGGUUAAAACUCAAAUGAAUUGACGGGGGCCCGCACAAGCGGUGGAGCAUGUGGUUUAAUUCGAUGCAACGCGAAGAACCUUACCUGGUCUUGACAUCCACAGAACUUACCAGAGAUGGAUUGGUGCCUUCGGGAACUGUGAGACAGGUGCUGCAUGGCUGUCGUCAGCUCGUGUUGUGAAAUGUUGGGUUAAGUCCCGCAACGAGCGCAACCCUUAUCCUUUGUUGCCAGCGGUUAGGCCGGGAACUCAAAGGAGACUGCCAGUGAUAAACUGGAGGAAGGUGGGGAUGACGUCAAGUCAUCAUGGCCCUUACGACCAGGGCUACACACGUGCUACAAUGGCAUAUACAAAGAGAAGCGACCUCGCGAGAGCAAGCGGACCUCAUAAAGUAUGUCGUAGUCCGGAUUGGAGUCUGCAACUCGACUCCAUGAAGUCGGAAUCGCUAGUAAUCGUAGAUCAGAAUGCUACGGUGAAUACGUUCCCGGGCCUUGUACACACCGCCCGUCACACCAUGGGAGUGGGUUGCAAAAGAAGUAGGUAGCUUAACCUUCGGGAGGGCGCUACC